ACGAACGCUGGCGGCGUGCUUAACACAUGCAAGUCGAACGAUGAUGCCCAGCUUGCUGGGUGGAUUAGUGGCGAACGGGUGAGUAACACGUGAGUAACCUGCCCCUGACUCUGGGAUAAGCGUUGGAAACGACGUCUAAUACUGGAUAUGAUCACUGGCCGCAUGGUCUGGUGGUGGAAAGAUUUUUUGGUUGGGGAUGGACUCGCGGCCUAUCAGCUUGUUGGUGAGGUAAUGGCUCACCAAGGCGACGACGGGUAGCCG
rnacentral:rRNA from 2 species